rnacentral:rRNA from 1 species
CAGUAGCCACGGUAAUACGUGGGGUGCGAGCGUUAAUCGGAAUUACUGGGCGUAAAGCGUGCGCAGGCGGUUUGUUAAGACAGAUGUGAAAUCCCCGGGCUCAACCUGGGAACUGCAUUUGUGACUGGCAAGCUAGAGUGUGGCAGAGGGGGGUGGAAUUCCGCGUGUAGCAGUGAAAUGCGUAGAUAUGCGGAGGAACACCGAUGGCGAAGGCAGCCCCCUGGGCCAACACUGACGCUCAUGCACGAAAGCGUGGGGAGCAAACAGGAUUAGAUACCCCAGUAGUCCCUGUCUCUUAUAC